UGGGGAAUUUUACGCAAUGGGCGAAAGCCUGACCCAGCAACGCCGCGUGAGGGAAGAAGGUUUUCGGAUCGUAAACCUCUGUCCUUGGUGAAGAGUAAGAGACGGUAGCCAAGGAGGAAGCCCCGGCUAACUACGUGCCAGCAGCCGCGGUAAUACGUAGGGGGCGAGCGUUGUCCGGAAUGAUUGGGCGUAAAGGGCGCGUAGGCGGCCUGUUAAGUCUGGAGUGAAAUUCCUGCUUUCAAGGUAGGAAGUGCUUUGGAAACUGGCGGGCUGGAGUGCAGGAGAGGUUAGCGGAAUUCCCGGUGUAGCGGUGAAAUGCGUAGAGAUCGGGAGGAACACCAGUGGCGAAGGCGUCUAACUGGACUGUAACUGACGCUGAGGCGCGAAAGUGUUGGGAGCAAACA
rnacentral:rRNA from 1 species